rfam:Asian citrus Psyllid, Diaphorina citri - Florida Strain, whole genome shotgun sequence.
AUCAGCGGCGAUGGUACGUGGAACGUUUCAGUUCGCAGUAGACCACUGAUGUUAAACAACUUUGCUCGUGGUUGGUAUUUGGAUGGGCGACCAUCUGGGCAAUCGUGAGCUUCUGGCU